rnacentral:tRNA from 1 species
AAAGGGAGACCUAAUUCCGGUAGGAGACGAAAAAAAAGUAGUCCCUACCAAGAAUCAAUCCCAAAAGGUCGGAGCGAGGCGAAAUUGGCUUUCAAACUAGGUUCUGGGUUCACACAAGACCUGAAUCAGGAACAAGGGCUAUUAGCUCAGGUGGUUAGAGCGCACCCCUGAUAAGGGUGAGGUCCCUGGUUCGAGUCCAGGAUGGCCCACCUGCACAGGUGGCAAAAACAAGAGAAGCGAGGAAUCAGCACCUUAUCUUACUUAUAUAGUAAGAGAGAAUGCUGGCUCUGAGUUCAGAGUCCAGAGGAACCUUGAAAACUGCAUAGAGCUAGGUGAAAAAGCCAAAAAAGAAGACCGCAAG